rnacentral:rRNA from 1 species
UACAGAGGCCUCAAGCGUUAGGCGGAAUCACUGGGCUUAAAGCGCGUGUAGGUGGUUGCCUAAGUCCCUUGUGAAAUCCCACGGCUUAACCAUGGAAUUGCUUGGUAUACUGGGUGUCUUGAGCCACUCAGGGGCUACCGGAACAAACGGUGGAGCGGUGAAAUGCGUAGAUAUCGUGUGGAACGCCAAUGGUGAAAACAGGUAGCUGGGGGUGUGCUGACACUGAGGCACGAAGGCCAGGGGAGCAAACGGG